rnacentral:rRNA from 1 species
UACGAAGGGGGGCUAGCGUUGCUCGGAAUCACUGGGCGUAAAGCGCACGUAGGCGGUCUUUUAAGUCGGGGGUGAAAUCCUGGAGCUCAACUCCAGAACUGCCUUCGAUACUGGAAGACUUGAGUCCGGGAGAGGUGAGUGGAACUGCGAGUGUAGAGGUGAAAUUCGUAGAUAUUCGCAAGAACACCAGUGGCGAAGGCGGCUCACUGGCCCGGUACUGACGCUGAGGUGCGAAAGCGUGGGGAGCAAACAGG